rnacentral:rRNA from 1 species
UACGAAGGGGGCUAGCGUUGUUCGGAAUUACUGGGCGUAAAGGGCGCGUAGGCGGCAAUUCAAGUCAUCUGUGAAAUCUCCGGGCUUAACUCGGAACGGUCAGAUGAUACUGCUUUGCUAGAGUGCGGAAGGGGCAAUCGGAAUUCUUGGUGUAGCGGUGAAAUGCGUAGAUAUCAAGAGGAACACCUGAGGUGAAGACGGGUUGCUGGGCCGACACUGACGCUGAUAGCGCGAAAGCCAGGGGAGCAAACGGGG